GUUAAUACAGAUUUUUACAGAGAGAAAAAAAAUAGUGAGUACUCUCAUAUUCAUUAUAUCAAAGUUAUAUAAAGGUUUAACUUUGCAAAGGUUUAUUUCUCAAACUACCUGUUAGGACAAAACAGUACAUAUGUUUUAGUUGUUUUUGUUUUACUUUGUAUAGCCUUUUGCAGUAAGUGAGAUUUAAUUAGAGAGCCAGAAACUCAGCACAUCACAUGCUCAGCCAAUUUGUCAGUUGCGAUUGAUGCAAAUCAAGACAAGAGCUUCUGGUCCUGAUUACUUACCAGACUAAAAUGUAAUUUUAAAAGGUUUGUGCAACUUAUCACCAUCCAUCGGUCUACAUCCAUUUAUCUCUCAAUAAAUACUAACUGCUGCCUCAUAUCAAUCAAUCUUUUUGUUUUGUGCUUGUUUUUUGUUGUUUCACAAAGUAAAGGAACAUUUUAUUUUGUCAUGAGUGGAGUGAGCUUUUCCAGGGUAAUAGUGCCACUAAAUGGAUUGAUGAGUAUAAAUUUUAUAGAAAUGUUAUGUUAUCUAUACCCAGCUGAGCAUCUAUGGAAGACAUUGGUCCAAUAAAUCAGACAGUGCCUUCUCCCAACACUUAAACAGGACUCCAGUAGAAUUCAGUGGCGCACUAAUGUUUUUCUACUGGCACAUGAUGAUCCAUCCAGAGGUUGGUGGAUGGGAUAGGUAUCAGAUUAGUACUUUGUUCCUAUCCUCUAAGUUCGAGCAUAAUGAAUUGGGAUACAUUAUUUAUGUUUUGUUUUUUCUUUGGGGUUUUUUUUUUUUUUGUUUUUUUUUUUUUGGAAAUGAAAAAAAUAUCCACUAUGAAAAAUGUCUGAACCCUUUUGUGUUGACUGUCAAAUCAAUUUUUAUAGCCUAUAGCACAUUUAAACAACAGUAAAUAGAGGAACAUUUAGAAUUCUGAAAAACCAAAUUUCAAAAUACAUGAAAAACUGAAAUGUGUGUUUGUUUUAUUAAACUCAUUAAAAUGUGUUCAGAAUUUGUCAAUUGAGGAGGCUUUAUCUCAUACAACAUGACACUGUUCUCCACUCCGUAAGCUUUAUAGCUUUAAAUCGUGGCUGUCAAUAUUGGUAUCGGCAGUAGUGGCCCUUUAUUUACUUGAUAUUGCAUCUAAAAAGUGUAGUACUCCACAGCACUACAUUCCGUCACCUCACGAAGAAACUUUGUGUUUUUCCUUUAAUUAAAUUUGAAAAAUUUGAAAAAUCAAUGCUGCAAUUCUUUAUGUGACCACACGGGGUCACUGUUGACAUUAAAAUCUCCUAGGAUACAUGGCCAUUAUUGCCGACUCUUUGCCGUAAAUAAUUCAGAGGACAAAAUCAACUUAAACACUGAAC
ensembl:lncRNA